rfam:Camponotus floridanus CamFlo_1.0_1.contig3820, whole genome shotgun sequence.
GGUUGAAUAGCUCAGUGGUAAGAGCAGUCGCCCGACAAGCGAAAGACUCGGGUUCGAUUCCCGAUUCAGCGA